UACGGGGGGAGCAAGCGUUGUUCGGAUUUACUGGGCGUAAAGGGCGCGUAGGCGGCCAGCACAAGUCAGUUGUGAAAUCUCCGGGCUUAACUCGGAAAGGUCAACUGAUACGUGUGCGGCUAGAGUGCGGAAGGGGCAACUGGAAUUCUCGGUGUAGCGGUGAAAUGCGUAGAUAUCGAGAGGAACACCUGCGGCGAAGGCGGGUUGCUGGGCCGACACUGACGCUGAGGCGCGAAAGCCAGGGGAGCGAACGGG
rnacentral:rRNA from 1 species